CCACCGCUGGAACCAAGCCGGAGUUAUUUAUCCACAAAAGGCAGCUGCACGGGCCCAGGGUCGUGCCCUGCGUUUGUCACAAACCAAAGCAGGCUGCAGACGAGGCCGAACGCGAGGCCUGUGUAGCCUGAGGGGCGCCGGAGCCGUUGCUGCUUUCCCGCCCGUUGCGCGCGGGAGCGGCGGGAAGGGCCGAGGUGGGCGUCCGGGCAGGCGCUCAGGGCACGGACGGCUGCCUGUGCUGGGCAGAGCCUGCGCCUCCGCCGCGGUCCGCACAAACGUCCCCCGGGAUGGUGGUUCCACCGCAGCUCUGGGCAGCUUGUUCCAACGCCUGACCGCUUCUUCAAUGCUUUGAGCGGCCUCCAGUAAGUGACAGCUGUGCUGGGCAUGUACCAACCCUGACUUCCUACCCCCGUUUGCUUUCCGUGCAAAUAAGGAGGAUGUGGAGUUUGACAGGUCACUCCGCUCUGGUGACCUGUUAGUGUUUCUGAAACGUCAAAGGACAUUUGGAGAAAGGAACCCCCAAGAUGAGCCAGAAAGGUUAAAUGACAAGAGAUACAAGGUCACAAGUUUUUGGAUCCCAUUCCUGCAGACUGUUCAUGCACUGUUCAUCCAGAACAGCAGCAACAGCGCUGAUAUACAGCUCCUGGAAGACAUAUAAUGCUCCAUCUCUCUUGUGUUCCAGGCAGUCAUGAGACACAGCAAAAGUGUUUUACAGGCUGGCGUAGCAGAAAUUAAAACACCCUUGGUGUGAGCCCACAGUGCCCAGGCAGAGGCAGAGCAGGUACAGGUGGAGGCAGUUCAUGUGCUGCUGCUUUCCAAAGGGAAACAGGAAAAAACAGCAGCACAUAGAGCCUAGUCAAAACAGGACCUAGAAUGUCAAUCGAGAUGAAAUAAAAGCACUUUUCAGGCACACCCUGGCAGAGAAGAAAGCUGGGAAGCCCCAGCACAGAUCUUGCCAUCUGCUCCAUAAUUCCUGUCCUCAUCAGAACAGUUGCAUCAAAGAGCCAUCUGGCUCCAUCUGCAAUUUCUUCAGCUACCUUGUACAAAAUUCAUACAGUGGGAUGGCUUUUCCUAAACUAUCCAGUUCGGGGAGCACAACUGGAGAGGUUUUCUAAAUACACAAAUGACUGCAAACUUAAUUAUCCUGAUUACUGAGUGUAAGAUUAUUAGUUGCUUGUUUCCUGGGUUCCACUCUAAUUGGAAUUCUAAUUAAAUUUAAUCAUUGAGUAACCUAUUCCUAUGGUUUCUCAGUAC